GUUUUGUGGUGCUACAGGGCGUCAGAAUUAAACCUCAUCUGGAAGAACAUACACCGCACCCUCCGUCAACUACUGCAGGAGAGAUCAGUGGUAUUUCUAGAGGGAUGUUAUAAAGCAAGAGGGAACCUGCAUGAGAAACAUGGAUACACUCACUCUGUGCUGGUCUAGAGCUGAACAGCACUAGUCAUCACUGUGAACGAGGGGGAGCCAUCCUUUAGCAAGGACACACGAAAGAAAUUGCUUAAAUCCUCCACAACCCUAAAAGAAUUAACCAUCUGUAUACAAUACUGUAUUUGCAGAGGUCAGAGGUCCAGUCUUGGAAUCAUAGAACACGUGUUCAGAUUCUGCUGCUCAUGGAGACACAAAAAUCUAUUAAAACACCUCCAGUGCAUCAGUGAAAGUGCUGGGAAGAAAUUUGAGUUUUGACUGUUGCUAAGAAGAGAUGUGGCUGUCCUCUCCAAGUGACAACUCACAGGAAGGAGAAAAGAGACAUCAUUUAGGACUUGAACUAGAUGACCUCCAGAGGUCCGUUCCAACCUCAACCAUUCCACAUUUCUGUGAUUAGAAGAGAUUUUAUCUAUCCACUUUGCUGUGGUUGCUACUCUGGUGGCUUUUGAGGAAGCCUUCUCUCC
rnacentral:lncRNA from 1 species